AUGGUAUGUAAUUGUGGCAUCACAUUUACAUUAAAGGUUACGGUACAAGAUGACUAUGCGUCCCAUUAGUUAGUUGGUGAGGUAACGGCUUACCAAGGCAGCGAUGGGUAGGGGCCCUGAGAGGGGGAUCCCCCACACUGGUACUGAGACACGGACCAGACUCCUACGGGAGGCAGCAGUGAGGAAUAUUGGACAAUGGGCGGGAGCCUGAUCCAGCCAUGCCGCGUGCAGGAAGACGGUCCUAUGGAUUGUAAACUGCUUUUGUACGGGAAGAAUAAGGACUACGUGUAGUCCGUUGACGGUACCGUAAGAAUAAGGAUCGGCUAACUCCGUGCCAGCAGCCGCGGUAAUACGGAGGAUCCGAGCGUUAUCCGGAAUCAUUGGGUUUAAAGGGUCCGUAGGCGGGCCAUUAAGUCAGGGGUGAAAGUCUGCGGCUCAACCGUAGAAUUGCCCUUGAUACUGGUGGUCUUGAGUUAUGGUGAAGUGGCCGGAAUAUGUAGUGUAGCGGUGAAAUGCAUAGAUAUUACAUAGAACACCGAUUGCGAAGGCAGGUCACUAACCAUAUACUGACGCUGAUGGACGAAAGCGUGGGGAGCGAACAGGAUUAGAUACCCUGGUAGUCCACGCCGUAAACGAUGGAUACUAGCUGUCCGGGCGCAAGCCUGGGCGGCCAAGCGAAAGUGAUAAGUAUCCCACCUGGGGAGUACGUCCGCAAGGAUGAAACUCAAAGGAAUUGACGGGGGCCCGCACAAGCGGUGGAGCAUGUGGUUUAAUUCGAUGAUACGCGAGGAACCUUACCAGGGCUUAAAUGUGGUCUGACAGCUUUAGAGAUAGAGUUUCCUUCGGGCAGAUCACAAGGUGCUGCCAUGGUUGUCGUCAGCUCGUGCCGUGAGGUGUCAGGUUAAGUCCUAUAACGAGCGCAACCCCUGCCGUUAGUUGCCAGCAUGUAAUGAUGGGGACUCUAACGGGACUGCCGGUGCAACC
rnacentral:rRNA from 1 species